rnacentral:rRNA from 1 species
GACAGAGGGUGCAAGCGUUGUUCGGAAUCAUUGGGCGUAAAGGGCGCGUAGGCGGCUUUGUAAGUCGGAUGUGAAAUCCCAGGGCUCAACCGUGGAAGUGCAUCCGAAACUGCAGAGCUAGAGUCCCGGAGAGGGUGGUGGAAUUCCCAGUGUAGAGGUGAAAUUCGUAGAUAUUGGGAGGAACACCGGUGGCGAAGGCGACCGCCUGGACGGAGACUGACGCUGAGGCGCGAGAGCGUGGGGAGCAAACAGG